CUUCUUGAUCCUUAAAUCUUUCAAAGUGAUUAAGAGACUGUUCACAACAUAAGGACAAUAAUGGGUAUUCAUAUAAAUGACAUUGAAUCUCUUUUUGCAAUAAGUUGCGAUCCAAACAACUGAUUUAGCAGAUUUGUAAAUUUCUCACCCUGCACCAUUUCAGCUCCUGUAAUUCAAAACCAUACAUUGAAAAUUGCCUUUGGUAAAUGUUCCUG